AGUAAAAACUGACCGAGUAAAUGUGAAUAUUUUUUCACUUGAACACUCUGAUCUGUUUGGAACUUAAUUUCCUUACUCAUGAAAUUAAUAUAAUAAGGCUAAGUUGGUCAGUAGUUAAACUAACUAAAUUUGGCUGAAGAUUGCUAUGUUCACUAUGCAAAGAUUAGACCGUUAGUUCCCUGAGUGAAGAGAUGCUAUCUUGGUAUCUCCAGCUUCCAACCGGGGGCUUGGCACAGAAUAGGGGCUUGGUAAAUGUUUUCCAAAUGAAUGGGAUGUCUGAUGGAAAGAAGACAAGGUGAAGGAAUUCCUGGGUAAUAUGGAGAUGAGAAUCUGUGAGAAGGAUACAUGUACUGAUGCCUGUCGCGGUGGACACACAGACGCACACAUUGCGGAACACCACCAUAAGAAUAUUGAGAAUAUCGAGAACACUUCAAUAUUCCAAACUUCAAUGGAAAUAUACAUGCUGUAAAAUUUCAAAUUCAUGCUCCACUUCUUAUAAAAGGAACUGGAGUACACUCUUCUUCUGCCCUUGGACAUCAGGCUCUCUGGCCUUUGGACUCCAGGACUUAUACCAGCGCCCCUCUGGGUUCUCAGGCCUCUGUACUUGAACUGAGCCACACUGCCAGCAUGCCAGCUUCUCCAGCUUGCCAGGCCUGCUGUGGGACUUCUCAGCCUCCAUAAUCAUGUGUGCCAAUUCCCCUAAUAAAUCUCCUCUCA
rnacentral:lncRNA from 1 species